GGGGGAUCCUAUUCCAAACAAAGCUGUCUACUCAGUCUCUCAACUCAUAUUCAGACAGGAAAUGACCAGGUGGCUGCCUGCUAGCGUGAAAAAUACAUUAGAAGCACACGAUUCACAAAUGCAUGAUUGUUUAUAUAUAUAAUGAUUUAGAAUAAAUAAAUAAACCUUUAAUGCACGAAUCCCUCAAGUGUUCCUUGUGUUAUAUCUGACCUCCCUAUCAUCACAUAUUCUUAUCAACAGGUAGUUUUAUUAAAUGUUUAUGUGCAAAGAAAGAAUUCGGAUAUUGUUAUGAGGAGAGAUCAAUGUCUGUAUCAGUAACUCUCUGUCGCGUUCACAUGUAGAGGGUGCGUGCAGCCGUGGGGCGGCGCUCUUCAGAAGUCUCGCUGGUCUCCAGGACAACCGCGCGUGUGGAACGCGUCAGCUCGUGGAUUUCUGCCAUACGGUAGAAAGUCUGUCAUUUAAUUAAUUAUAUUUAUUAUUCUUUUAUUUAUAUAUAUAUAUAUAUAUAUUUUUUAAAAAGAAAAUGUUUAUUUUUGUAUUUCUCGGCUAGCACAUAAACAAAGCACAACUUUAUUUUAGUCUAUUUUACAUGUUCCUGUCACCGAAAUGAACGAAUCCUACUACGAUGAAGGCUACGCUCAUGAUUAUUAAUUAGUCCGUGCCACCGUUGCUUAGCAACCUAUACGCAGCGUCCAGUCACGACCGUCAUUAGUAUUCAUGAGCCAAGCCUUCGUCGUAGUAGUGUGUUGAGAGAAGACAACAAUGCACCCGCUGCUUCGCGAGGUCAGUUUACUCAACAGAGGUUCUGGGAUUUAACUCACUCUCAUCUCUCUGAAAUGAAGCUGGGGACAAAGAGAGACUACUCUUCUGGUGGCUUACUGUAAGUUGUAUUGUUCAGAGAUGUCCAGCACCACUGUGUCCCCCAAAGUCCCCUCCGCCAGCUCUUCAGCGGACCAGAGGACGAUCGUCGUGGGGGCAUUGGGUUGUCUGGUGUUUUUCUUCAUGAUCGUGGUGCUGCUGUUGAUCCUGUACCGGAAGCUUCCGCUCUGCUGCAAAAUGAGGGUUUAUCAGGAAUCUCGUUCUGACGUGCCGCCUCCCACAUAUGAGGAGAGCAUCCGUCAGUCUGUCCAGUCCAUUGACGUCCCGUUUGACAUCCUGGCACCCGAGGAGGAGCCGCCACAUGCACCAGUCACAGUCUCUGAGGCCGGCACAGAUUUACCUGCAUAUGAAGAUCUACCUCAAAUCACAGACUCACAAGAUCCCAAUACCACUCUUAAUUAAAGCGUGCUCAUGCACGGGAAGAAUGCAAUCUAUCCUCAGAGGAAAAUGAACAGCUGUUGAGCUGUCGCUGCCCUGAUGAGCGGCCGGCGUGUGCGUGAAUCCACUGUGCUCGCAAAAGACACCAAAAUAGGGUAGGACUCGACCUAUGCAAUAACUUGCACUAGCAAGUAGGAGAAGGAUGCUGCAUCACUACUGGAAGAAACGGAGAGAAGAACAAGAAUAUGCCAUUUGAAUUAUCUAUUUAAGUUCUAUCUGUUCAAAACGAACAUGAAUCUGCUACUUUAUAGAAUUAUACUGACUAUAGAUAUUUCAGUGACUUUUCCAAGCCUAAAAAUGUAGAAAUUACAUCACAGAAUCUGCAGAAAAACUAAUUUAAGGAGUGGGGAAUGUCAAUUUCAGUUUGAUUAUAAAAAGUGACAUGAGGUAUGAAAACAAAUGUGUUUUUUUUUUUUUUUGGAAUAACAUCCACUUAUCAGUCGUUCACAGUAACACUAGUGGCAUUUAUUAACUAUAAAUAAAUCUAUUGUGAGUUCAUGAUUAAUUAUUUCA
ensembl:lncRNA